GAGCUGAAACCGUUAAUGGACCACGGCUUGGGCCUACCAUUCAUACUGCUAAAAUCACAAUCUGACAUCCAGUGUGACGGCGCUGGGAGAGUGUGGGUCGGCGCUUGGACCCGCUGGAGUGUGGGAAGAUGGUGGGGUAGGGAGGAGUGUGCAGGGGGAGAUUGGGGCAUAGGAGGCGGGGUGGUAGAGUGUGGCGAUCGGGGAGACGGCGCUUCAGACGGACUCAGAGACCAGAGGAGCGGCGGAACGAAAUCCAAAGAAAGAGAGAGAGUGAGAGAGCGUACCAGAUUCUGUCUACCUCCACGACCUGAGCGACCAUGUGGACCAGCUGCCUGCUGCUUUUCAUGCCCGGCCUCCUGUUUGCCCAGCAACAAGAAUCAGUCGAAGAUUUUUACACCGGUCAGUACUUCCCCCUGGAUGAUUAUGACUAUGGAACUGCAUUUCCUGUGGACCCCAACGCUCCCCCCAGGCAUGUGCUGCCCUCCCCUCAACAACAGCAGCAGCAGCAGGUCCUGCAGCAGAUUUCAGGGCCCAGCCAGUCCGAAGAUGCUCAGACCGAGCCCACAGAGCCAGGUCCGCUGGACUGCAGGGAGGAGCAGUACCCGUGCACGCGGCUGUACUCCGUGCACAAGCCAUGCAGGGAGUGUCUCCAAAGCCUGUGCUUCUACAGCCUGCGCAGGGUCUAUGUGGUGAACAAGGAGGUGUGCGUGCGGACGGUGUGUGCCCACGAGGAGCUUCUCAGAGCGGAUCUCUGCCGUGACCAAUUCCCACGGUGCGGCGUAGCGGCGUUGACUGGCCAGUGUGGGGCGCUGGGGAGCAGCUGUGGGAAGAGCUGCGGUGGCUGUUAGGGGGGGGGGGGGGCAGACGGAUACAGAGGCUGGAUCCCUCCUGCCCUGUGAACCAGCCUUCCUCUCGUCUCCAGUCCUCCAUCUGGGACCAAAGACUCACCAGGCUGCUUGCCUUUGAUCAGAGCCCUUUUCUUAACUCCCCUCUAAUAUGCACCCCCCCACCCCUUUAUACAUAUGUAAAAUAUAUAUACUUUUAUAUCCUAAAAACUGUUCGAUGUCACUGGUGCUAAAAACCAAUGGUACAGUCGUUCGAUGCACAUAAGCAGGUGAUACCCUUUGUACACAGUACUUUGUGGGAUAGCUGUUUUAUAUUUUACUGUACAUUUUAUUCAUUAUUGGUGCUUUUUGUGCGUCUCUCAUUAUUGUGUUCAUGAAAGCAGUACAGAGUGUCGACAGUUAACGCACUGUACAGGAAGGUGUGCUCACAGCUGUCAGAGCGGUGCUGCCUUUUCAAACAUCCAUAAUUAUUAUUAAUGCACAGAACCAAAGCAGCUAAUAAUAUUUAAAAAACUGGCAGACUGUUUCAUCUCCUGAGGUGAUGGCGUCUUUGCUCAUUAAAGUAAAUAUCAUGCAGUGAGUUGUUACUUUUUAUUUUAAAGACGCAUGUCGGCGGGCAGAGAGGCCUGGGACACCUGGCUGCUGCUGUACUACUGCUAUGUCAAAACCUUUUUUAAAAAAUACAAGAAAAAAAACCUUC